GCAUUUUUGUAGUAGUGAAGCGUAAUUUAUUAAUUAUAGAGAUUUUAUUAAAAUAUAUGGGUAUUGUAUAUACUAUUUUUGAAAUAAAAUAUUUUCGGGUUCGAUGACUGUGGAAACUGGGUUUAUUGGCCAAAGAUGUCACGACAACAAUAGAAUGAGUUUUGGAUUGUACCAAAAUGUUUUAGUAUGCUUGAGUUGUCGGGUUAUUUGGGCUAGAUAGCUUUGACCAAAAUACUCCUAAGUUAUAAAGUUACAUAAGUGUUGAAUUAAGGAUAAAAUAAUAACUUCACUUAGUUCUAUUCUUUUAUUUUAUUCGAUUUUUCUUGUAAACCCAAGGCUGAAGGAAAUAAGAUUUUAAUUUCCUCAAUAAUUUAAUGUUAUUAUCUUAGUUAUCUUAGUGAGAUAAGAUCAAAUAGAAUUAUCACACAAAAAUCUCUUUCUCUCUCUUUUCAUUUUUGGCUCAACGAAACCCAACAGAACCAACACAAACUCAAUAUCAUUUUCAUCAUUUUCUUGUCAAUUCCUUCACCUUAGAAGUUGUCCUAUCCUGAGGGCCCCGAGAUUGUCGAAUGUUAUUCCACUCAGGUCGGCCAACACAUUUAAACUUAGAUUUAAGGUAAGAAAAGUCAGUUGUACCACUUUACAUGUCUAAUUGGGAUACGAUAAUGAGUGUUAGUAUGAAAGAUUUAUAACUCUAUUCAGAAACCACUGUUAGGUUUCUUACUUAUCGGUUGCCUUAUUAGGCAACGAUAGUAACAAUACCUUACUCGUUGGAAAAGAGGGUUGAUGGGUACUUUAUAAAGUAUCAGAGAUAGUUUGUCUUAUUAGACAAAUAAUUGAUAAUUCUUAUUGUGUUAAGUUGUAAUAUUUUACAUGAAUAUAUGUUUAAUUUUGUAACUGUCAUUGAUUACAGACUUAUUUGAUUUAUGGAUUUAUAUUUUCUUUUU